rnacentral:misc_RNA from 1 species
GCUCCAUCGUAUUAUAAACAGUUUUGAUUUUAGCGCUCAUAUGGAAAUGUUUACAACGUGAUCAAGAUAGGAUGUAAACUAGUUAUUCUUAAAUGAUGAAGAUUCUAAAACUCCUUCAAUAAUGGACACGACGAACGGGUACGACCCGACGCUGCCAAUGGAUCUGGAAGGAAGCGUCAAUCCAGAUCUUCUGACAGAAGUCACGUUUGGGUCACAUUUGGAGUAUCCUGAUGGAUCAGUGCCCAUGUUUGCCAAGACCAGUAAUGGAAGGAUGUCCCCAGUACGAGCCAGAACCAUGAAGGAAUAUGACCAGCAAAUUGCAGUCCUAAAGAAGGAGAACUUCAGUCUGAAGCUAAGAAUUUAUUUCCUGGAGGAGAGGAUGCAGCAGAAAUUUGGAGAUGGGGAGGAUGUGUUUAAGACUAAUAUCGAGCUGAAGGUCGAGUGCGAGAGCCUGAAGCGAGAACUGGCCGACAAACACAACUUGUUGAAGAAAGCCUCGAAUGCUAUGGAAAAUCUGUCAAGUAACCACCAAUCAGAGAUGGCAAAGAUACAGGCACAAGUAGAAAGAGAUUUCAAAGACUCUAACAAUGGGCUGGCAUAUCAACUUGACUCUGCUCAAAAGGCCCAUUUUGAAGCAGAAGAGGCUCUUCAGGACAGCAAGGACAAGAUACAGGAAUUACAGGGGCAACUUGACAAGAUGGCCACAGAGGUCAAAGAGGUGCAACAAAAGGGAGAUGACUAUGUGAAGGAUUUGAUGCAAGAGUUGAAGGAUAAAAACAAUGAAAUAGAGCAUCUGACUGCCACAAACCUGAAGAACCAGGACGACAUAGAUCUGCUCCAACAACAGAAGGACCAUGCUGAGGAUGAGCUCGAAAAACUGGAGAAGGAACUCGGCAGGAAGGGGCGAGAUCUAGAGCAACUGUCGUGCAUUGUGAGGGAUACUACCCUACUGGACAGUCAGUCCUUCCUUCUCAACAAUCAUCUCCAGGAUGCUGUUGAUGACCAGAAUGAAGCAGUAAAGAACAUGGAGGAAAAGGUCAAGGACGGUGAAUUAAAGAUAAAGGACAAGAAUGAAACAAUAGGGAAACUAGAGGACCUGCUGAAGUCUGUUGAAGCUAAUCGAAAGGAGAAGGAGAAAACUUUACAAGAUGCAGAAGACAAACUGCUUCAAGAGAGGACAAAGGCUGCUCUACGGGACAAAACUAUCAAAGGGCUCCACUCUGUUAUCACUACCAAAGCUAAGGAGAUGGAAGCUUUGGCGGAGAAGUUGAAGGUGCGUGACGAGGAGAUGAAGGCGAUGCAGGAGGAAUUCCAGGACACAGCAGUACAGCGACAGAAGGAGUUAGAUCGCCAACAUGAGGAGAACAACUUUCUGGAGCAGAAGGAGGCCAGCAUGAAGGUUCGUCUGGCAGAACAGGAAAAUGAACUGGAGAAGCUGAUGAGGUCACUAGGUCGUAAGGAGGGAGAACUGGAGGGUUUUAAGGACCUCCUCAGCAAGGCACAGAACGCACUCCAGCAGAGCGAGGAUGCUGUAGAGGUUCUCCAAGACCAACUGAAGAAGGAGCGAGUGCCCUCUCACCCCUCGUCUGCCCAUAGUAGCCCAGUCAAGCAUUACAAGGACUUGCUGGAUGAGUCCCAGAAGCGUGUUUCUGAGAAGGACAGCAUGAUUCACCAACUAAAUGAUACACUCCGGGACAAGGACAAACAACUGCGCACAUGUAUGGGCAUCUUUGACACCCCACAGGAUGCAGUUAGUGGUGAAAUGGUGGACAAACUGACCAGACAACUGAAGGAGAGUGACCGUGCACUGGCUAGGUUGCUGGAGGAACGUGCAUUGGUGAUUGCAGAGAAAGAGAAGAAGCUUGAGGAGUUAAGGGAAGUACUGAGUGAUAAGGAGGCAGACAUCGCUAGAGCUAACAAGAUGCUGCUUGCUGCUGAGGAUACCAUAGAUUGUUUGGAGAAGGCAAACAAGGAGAAAGCGAACAGUCUGCAGGUAGCAACAGACAUGAUGAGAGCUGCUGAACAGGCUUUACAGGAUGCCAAGCAGAGCUUUUCACAGGCCAUGGCUGAGAAGGACUCUAUAAUUAGUCGUCUUCAGGACUCAAUAGGGGACAAGGAGGCCCUGCUUAAGGAGACAAUGAAGCGAGCCCCGAUGACAACAGAUGAAGUGAUGGACUUGAAGAAAACGCUACAGAACAAGGAUCGCACAUUACAAGAUAUGAUUGACGAGAAGGACAAGACCCUGACAGCCAAUGCCGAGUGUGUUAACAGCCUGCUGAAGAAACUGCAGGCCAGGGAGGCGGAGCUAAGUCAGAUGAGUGACAAGCACAAGAAAGACAUUGCUAACAUGGAGCAAGAGACGCUGAAAAUGAGUGGAGACUUGAGGAAGGUGGAAAUGGAACUGAGGAGGAAACAGAAUGAGUUACAUUCUGCUGAUAACCAGGCUAGUCGGUCACACCAGCAAAGUCAGGAUGUUUUGGACAAAUUACGAGCAGUCAUCUCGGACAAGGACAAAACCAUCAGUACACUGCUGGACAGUGUCCAGGAGAAGGACAAAGUGAAUGGACAGCUCAGGCAUGACCUUCAGAGCAAGGAUGACCUGGUGGAUAAGCUUCAGACGCUGUUGCGCCAGUCUCAGACAGGCUCCAGUGCAGACCUAAGUGCCAAACUCCAGGAGCUACAGAUAGAGCUUGCUGUAAAAACCGAGGGGUUGAGGAAUGCCAGACGUAUGGAAGAGGACCUGCGAGAGCAGAUUCAGGAGCUGAAGCAGAAGUUAAACAGUGUGCCCCAAGGUGACCGGGAGUACCAUACCCUGGAGAAACAAAUAUACUACCUCAAGGACAAACUGGAGGGUCAGGGCUGGACACCAGGAGGCAGCAGUCCAGGGUCACCAGGGGGCAGCAGUGCAGGGUCAAAUGGUCAGCAGGUCCUACUGCAGGAGACAUUGCAAGCCCAACUUGAAGAACUUAGGAGGUUGAAUGCAGCAGUGCAAACAGAGCAACACCUUCUGGAGAGUAUCAGAGACAAGAGUCAGGGGAGUGACCACUCACAAGCAGUAGAUGAGGAGCUGACCGCUGUCCGCACCCUGAGGAGGGAGUUGGAGGAAGGGGUGCAGCACAACCAUCAGAUGAGGACCAUCCUGGAGGGACAGAUGAAGGGUAUAUCAACCAAAGAGUCUUCUCAAGAAAAUGUGGAUGACUUAAGGAAAACUCUGAACUUCCUGAAGCUUGAACUUGAGACAAGUAAGCUCAACAAUAGGUUACUUCAGUCCAAAAAUGACCUGCAACCGAGACAACGGGUAGACGGAGAGGGUAGAGCAGAAUCGUACCACCAAGGGGCACAAACUUCACCAGUGGCAGCUACAUGGAGUCCCGGUAAGAAUCGGAGUCCUUCACCUAUUGAUGUAAAUGUUCAGCUGAAUCGCCAGACCUUGUCUGACAUGUCUGCCCCAAUGUUGCGGAAAUUGAUCAGACAGUUACAACAACAACUGAGUCAGGAGGAGAAAGAGAAUGCAGAGCUACGCAGGAAACUUAGUGUUAUGGAAGAUGUACGCAACAUUCCAGGGAAGAAUGACGACGACGAGAACAGCAUACCGUACCUACGAUCAGAGAUUGAGAGACUGGAAAGGGAAGUGAUCAGAAAGGAGGAGAUGAUUGGUGAGUUACAGGUCAGAUUAGGCUCACAGGAGCGAGACAGCAGUGCAGGUGGUGUAACAGACCUUAAGAACGAAGUCAAGAAAUUAACACUUCAGUUAAAUCACACACAGGAAGUUAUUUCAAUGUUGAAACAACAGCUGAUAUUAAACGCUCAAAGUAAAGGAAGUGACUUUGAUCCCGAGCUCAUUGUACAGAUGGCUGGUGAAAUACAGAAACUGAAGUUAGAAUGUGACAAGGCAAGGCGUGGAGGAUCCACAUCAUCAGAUACAUCAGAAGUGUGUAGUUCAGUUAGUGCUCCAUCACUAAUUGGGGACGGCUCAUUGAAGGGCCGCUCUCUUAAGAAAAGCAGCCAGAUUCCUCGUCCAAGAAUCGGAAGCACACCUGUUGUAGGGGAUAUUUCUUCCAUAAACCAGCCUGAAACACUCAAAACACUGCUGAUGGAAUCCAAAAAACGCAUCACUGACCUGGAGGACAAGCUGAAGGCCACAGAGGGUACUGUACGAUAUCAGACGCAGAAGAUGAAGUAUUACAAAGGCCUCCUGGAGGAUAAUGGAUUAAUCCAACGCAGCCCAAUGUGUAGCAGAUCUAGUAGCGAAAGCAACCUAGCAGCACUAUUCAGUAAGAUUCCAGUACGCAAACGUACCGCUUCACAAGAACAUUUACCAUCCGUUGUUGGGUCUAUGGAUUCUGCCAUUGGAUCCGAUUAUGGGGGUGCUAUGGAUACAGUGUUUGAGAGGUUUGGUAAAACUGACGACAAGGAGACUCUGAAGGAUCAAGUGACACAAUUGAGGGAACUUCUCGUCCGACAGAGCAGAGACAUCAAAGCUUUGAGAGACAAAUCAGAGAAGGAAAAGCAGCAACGCCCAACAGACCGACUGGACCAGAAUGCCCAGACACUUCACAGCCUCGACGACACGUUAGUGUCGCGCCACACUUUACAGGACCUGUACCAACAGAUGGAGACACUGCAGAGGAAUCUACAAGAGACGCAGGACACUAACGCAGAACUUCAGCACAAACUUCUACAGCUUCAACACCACAACGCAGAUACCUUACAACUACAGCUCAAAGACAGUCAGGCACAGACUGCGGUCCUAGAGGAAAAGAUUGCAGCCUUCCAAAACUCGUCUGUUCACGAAAUAUUAGAGGCCCAAAAAUCUGAGCUUGUCAUGUUGAGGAAAAAAUUCUCAGAUACCCAGAACUCUUGUACCCAGCUGAACUACUGGCUUGAAGAAGUUAGCACGUUUCUCACUGAACUUGUGUAUGUAGACGAGGACGGCGAUCGCAAUCAGGUCCGUGGAAUGAAACACAAGGUGGAUAUGUCGAAGACCAUCGUCCGUAAUAUGUCUACCUGUAUACUGGAUUCCUUUGACGCAAGUUAUGAUGUCACCUCUGAUCAACCGCAGACAGACGAGAGUAAAGGAUUGGUAGCUGAAAAUGAGGCUCUGCGUAGGAGCGAGACAAAUCUAACAGAAGGUCUACGACAAAAGAACUUGGAGGUCGAAAAACUGACCAAUGAACUACGCAAGAAGAACAUGCUUGUUGACCAGUUACACCAGGAAUUGCUUCACUUCCAUCAGAUGAACAGGAAGUCGGAGUCGCCGAAAUCCUCAUCUACAGUCAGUAGUGCUGACGGAAAUGUCACUCCCAGCGGGAAAAUGUCCAAAGGAACACAUGAACUUUCCAACAGAUCUCCAAGUAAUUCACAAAUCUCGGAACAAGUUAGUCAGGUGAGCAGUCUCAGGUCACCGGAGCGCAUGCGUCACAUGACUGGUAGCAGUUUUACAGAUGGCAGCCAUCUUAGAUUAGACAAGACACAGGAAGGUGUUGUGAUUGUUGAGGACGUAGCUGAUUCCAGUCAGGGAUCAACAGGCUACCAUUCUUCUCAUUUGUCUGGAGAUGAUUUCAUGCAAGGCCCAGGUCACUUACACAGCACAACUGAGUCGGACAAGGAAAAUUCCUCUAUUUAUAUUAGUGCAUUUGACACAGAUGAAAAACUUAUGUACAACAGACGUUUAGCAGACGGACAGAUGUUUGACAAUACGCUGACCCCACCUGUGUUCAAGUUGAAUGGAGAUACUUCUCUACCUACAAAGAUUGCAAAAGCAACUGAUGGUCGUCAUGUUGAGUUUAGUAUUUUAGAUAAAUCUGAGAGAGAAGAGGGCGAGGUAGAAUCAUUGCGGGCUCGACUGAGCGCUGUGGAAGAUCUGAACAAAACUCUAAAAGAUGAACUUAAUGUGUAUGAAAAUCUGUGCACUUCCAUUGGAGUUCAGAAUUCACCCACUAAAAUGUCGCCAUGCUCAAAGAGUAAACAGGAAACUGACACAGACCUGCUGCGUCAACAUCUGUCAGAACUCCGGGCAUUACGGAUAAAGCUAGAGCAUUCUGUCACGGACAGUGACCGACUAAGACAUCAGCUGGAACUGGACAUGGAUGGGCACAAGAUAACAACAGAUUCCACACAAAACGUGUACAUGUACAGUAAGCAACAGACGACAAUCACCGAACUACAGCAGACAAUCCGUCUGCUACAACAGCAACUGAAGGAGAACCAGUCAACAGUUCGUGACAAGAUCAUCACCAUCCAGGAGAGGGAGUGGACCAUACAAAAAUUACAGCAGGAACUGUCUGAUACAAAACAGCAACACACUCGCAGUCCCAACAUCAAAACACAGACGCCAGAAAAGGAUGUCUCUAUCCGUGAGUGGCACGAGAAUGUCCGCAGCCAGGAGCAGACAUGUGUGUUACAGCAGAGGCGGAUAGAACAGCAGGACAAUCUACUGGAGCAGCUACGCAAAAAGUUACAGCUACAGGAGCACAGUCUCCAUCAACAGGAGACCAAACUGAAGGAGAUGUACGAGUCUGCAGGGCAGCAGAAGGACCAAGACAUGCAUGACAAAGACAACAUGAUUCUACGGCGGGGUAAGCAAAUCGCUCAACUGGAACAGUCCACCGAACGCCUUGAAAAGAAAAUCUCUCAAUUGGAAGAUUGCAUUAAAAAACAAGAAGAACAGGUCAAACAAAAGGAAAGUUGCAUAAAAACUAUGAAAGGAGAAUUGCAAAAACAGGAAGAUACCAUUCAACACCAGGGAGAUGUUGUGAAACAGAGAGAGAAAGUCAUCAGGAAACUCAAGGAUGAAGUGCAUAAAAAGGUUGACAUCAUCAAGCAGCAAGGGGAGACAAUAACUGAUAAGGAGACAGCAAUGAAGUCGCUGAGCCGUGUCGUACAUGAACAGGCGGACCACAUGCGAAACAAGGACAACACUCUUCUGAAAUAUGACAAGGAAGUAAGAUCCCUUAAUGAGAAGGUGAAGCAGCUGGAUCAGCUGAAGGCAGAGAAGGAUGAGGCUAACAAUCGCCUGGUACAGAGGAAUGAGAUCCUAGACCAAGAUAACUGUAAGCUAGUGGCACGCAACGAAGAACUUGACUCUCAACUCAAACACAGCAGCAAGGAAGUUGACAGGCUGAAGCAGGAGAUGGAAACCAUGCUGGAGAAAGCACAAGAGAACCAAGACUUAAAUAAGACUCUCAAACUGGAACUCAGUGUGUAUGAGAAACUACAGUCUGAAGACAGCAGCAGUAAACCCCUGGGAGGCUUCGACAUCCGCGAACUCCUGACGGAAAUCCGACACCUCCGUGUCCAGCUGGAGAGAUGUAUUGACACCAACAAUGCCCUCCGACAGAAACUGGAAGAACACCUUCUACACCAAGCCAGUCCUCAACAAGUCACCACUACAACCACCAAUUACUUCACUGUCAAAGAUGGCAGUCCCACUCGCUCUAACGGAACUGAUGUCCCAGAUGGUCAGCCCAAUCCAGAGAGGCCAUAUGUAAAUGGAGCACUGACCAUCAGACGUGUCCAGAGUCAUCAAGUCCCUAUGGGGUCAAGGUCAGCCAGUGGAUCGUUUGCUUCCAACAGUAGCGACACCAUGUCAGUCUCCUGCCCCAGUGAUACACCCUCUUUGUCUGGCUUCGGUAUAUCAACAUGGCCUCCUAUGUCGUCUGAAAAUGUCAUGUUCAGCCAGCAGAGGGAGCUGUGUGUGUCGCAGUCCUCACCAGGGGGCACUCUGCACCAGUCGCUGGUCGACCUGGCAAAAUUGGGAUACAACUCACGGCCCGUGAUGUCUGAAGGGAAUUUAUCAUAUUAUGUUGACGAUCCCCCUAGCUCUGUCGCAGAUUUGACAGGAAUAAAGAUUGACUCUGAUCUAAGGUGCUUAUUUGCUGUUGGAAAACUGGAUGAUUAUGAAAAAUUGAAGAAGGAAAAUUGUGAAUCCUUGACUGUAUUGAAGGGCAUUGAGGCCCGAAUCAAGGAGAGGCUGCGAGUGUUUAAAACCAUGCGGACCUCUGAGCUCAUUAAGAGUGUAGAGUACAGUACCUUGAAGGAACUCUCCCUCAGCUCCGAAAACCUUCGUAUCUGUCUGGAUGAAGAGAAAUCUCUCAUUGGCUGUUUCUGGACAACCCAGCUCCCUAAGGGUGGUAGUGAUGCCAAAGUCACGGCGGAGAACAAACUCCUACGCGCUGAACUGUUUACGAUCCAGUCCAAGUAUGAGCUGAUGGUGAAGAUGGUACAGGAUGCUGAGACUCGGCUCCAUACCAGUAACAAACAGAAACAGAGUAUGGAGGAGAUAAUACAUCGUCAGUUGAAAAAGACAACGAAAGUGGUAGCCAAGGCGAGGACAAACUUUGAGAAAGAUGUUCCCAGCAACAGUUCAGGACAGCUUGUUUCUAUCACCAGAGGCCAACCUUUACGGGAUGUGGAUACGGACAGUGAGAUUAGCUACAGCUGAUAACAAUCGGCCGGAGUAGUGACCAUUGCGUGUGUGUUUGACUGUUACAUUUGGUUCAUUAGACUGAAUAGCCCAGAGACAGUGAUGAUAAGAAAUGCUACGACAAAGAGUGUGAACUAUGUCCUAAAUAUGUAAUACAACUCAAGUUUUAGGUCAGUUUGUUGAAUGAAGAGGAACUCGAUGUGGCUUGUCGUCCACGUUAAUAUAAGGGGGUCACUGUUGGAGAGCCGUUGUUGAUGAAACCUCAAAGUCAUCAUAUUGUUGUCACGUUUUGUUAACAAUGUUGCCUAUGUUGACUGCUGUUGUUUGUUAGUCAACUUAACAUACAGACCAUGUAUCUGUCCGGUACAAACAUGGCCUCAUCCCGUCACUGUUACAGGUAAUUGUAUGGGCCAGGUACACACAUCCCGUCACUGUUACAGGUAAUUGUAUGGGCCAGGUACACACAUCUCGUCAAUCAUAACUUUUCUUCUUUAGUGUGAAUGAUCAGUAUGUAUGUAUCAGGUGUAUGUAUAAUUGUGUGCACGGGUAUUAAUUUAAUAUUACCCUUGGUAGAGAUCAGGAAAUUCAAACCCUCUGGAAGAAAAAUUAUAGAAACCUGAGUUUUCCUCAUUAUUUCAUGCCUCCCGUUUGAAUCACCUUUUCUAUACCCCAUUUGCAGGGGUAGAUCCUCCUAUUUCUUGCCUACCUUCAUGAUAAAAAAAAACCCAAUUAAUUCUAUAAAAGCACUACAAAAACUGGUGCCAGUCAGAGUACAGACAUUAUUUUUCUUCUUAAUUUUAACAUUACAGUCAUUGCACUAUUGACUUGUGACAUCACAGCAGUGAUUUAGACCAGUGAAUUUCAGAUAGAAUUUUCAGCACCAUUGGACUUGGGAUAUCUUGGUUGAAUGUGCAAUUCUCUCUACAGGUGCCAGUGGCAGGUUGAGCCCACUGUUACACGUGUAGAUUGAC